UACACACACACACACGCAGCUUUUCUUUCUUCUCUCCCGACCGUCCCUCUCUCUCUUGUGUUUCAAAUUCCGGCCACCCAUAGCCCUCACGCGCCAGCCACCAAGGAAGCCCGCCACCUCGCGAGCUUGGCCGCCAAUUUUCACGGCCAGCCGCCGCCGGACGCGCGCCGAUCGGGCCGGAGAAGCCGCCGGCCGCCGGAUUUUCUCUCUCCUCUUUUCUUGUGUUUUCCGGCCAGCCCACUCCCAAUUGAGCCUCCUAUCCCCCUAUUUUGGGUCCUCUGAAUCCAAAAAUGGCCUCCAAUCCCAGAAAUUCGAAGCGGUUUGCGAGAUAUGGGGAAGUGAACACCGGCCGAAACUUUCCGACCAAAUUCUGGCCACCUCCGGCGGAAUUGGGGUCGAUGGAGACCGGAUUUGUGAUCCUCGUCCCACGAGCUUCGAUCCGGAGCACCGGUGAGUUGUAGAAUUGAUCCCGUGGUGGAUCAUGGGUUAAUUGCGUGCUCCAGGUCCAGGUUGGAGACGUUGAUUGUCCGGGGCGAGCCCGACGUCUCAGUUCGUUGCCGAAGGUUCAAGAAGUUUUUCUUCCCUUUUUCCUCUCUAUUUUGUAUUACAUUCUUAUCCGUCAUUUUAUAGAUUCCACAUUUGUUGUAUAAUGCUCUGUAUACUGUAUUGUUGUUCUUAUGCACUGGGUUGCUACUGUUGUUUUAUUUUGAAGUGAUGCAAUUUGUGG